AACGAACGCUGGCGGCAGGCCUAACACAUGCAAGUCGAGCGAGCACUUCGGUCCUAGCGGCCGACGGGUUAGUCACGCGUGGGAACGUGCCCUUUUCUUCGGACUAGCUCUGGGAAACUGGGAGUAAUACCGGAUGAGCCCUUUGGGGGAAAGAUUUAUCGGCGAGGGGUCUGCCCGCGUUAAAAACGGUAGUGGGUGGGGUAAUAGCCUACUCAGCCGGCGAUUCAUUGCUGGGUUGGGAGAAUGGUCAGCCACACUGGGACUGAGACACGUCCCAGACUCCUAGGGAAGGCAGCAGGGGUGAAUCUUAGACAAUGGGGGAAACAUUAAGCUAGCCAUGCCGUGUGAGCGAUGAAGGAGUGAGGGUUGUAAAGCUCUUUAAGCAGGCAAGAUAAUGACGGUACUAGCAGAAGAAGCCCCGGUUAACUCCGU
rnacentral:rRNA from 1 species